UCCCUGGCGGUCCAGUGGUUAGGACUCUGUGCUUCUACCGCAGGGGGCCCAGGUUCAAUCCCUGGUUGGGGAA